UGGGGAUAUAUAUAAUAUUCAUAUAUAAAUUGAUUUGUUGACAUACUGGUCCCCAGAUAUGAUCUCUAUGUUCAUCUCAUAGAGACAUAACUUUGGACUGAUAUAAAAACAUACUAUUGCGGUGAAAUAUGAAUUCUGAAGUAGGCGAAAAGUGGUAGUUCAAAAAUUAAGUAUAAGUUUAAACUCUAACAAGUACAGGGCAUAGAAAUGUUGAAAUAUGCCACACAGCUCUAUGUUUUGACCUUUGGAUAAAAUAAUAGUGCAUAUCAACUUUCUAUUUUAGGAUAUGAUUUGUCACAAAAC
rnacentral:lncRNA from 1 species